GGUGCGUUAGUUCAGCUUGGUUAGAAUGCCUGCCUGUCACGCAGGAGGUCACGGGUUCGAGUCCCGUACGCACCGCCA
rnacentral:tRNA from 1 species